AAUGAACGCUGGCGGCGCGCCUAAUACAUGCAAGUCGAGCGAGAAGACGUAGCAAUACGUUUGUAAAGCGGCGAACGGGUGAGGAAUACAUGGGUAACCUACCCUAGAGUGGGGAAUAACUAGCCGAAAGGUUAGCUAAUACCGCGUACGCUCCUUGGACUUCGGUUCAGGGAGGAAAGCGAUACCGAGGGUAUCGCGCUCUUGGAUGGGCUCAUGUCCUAUCAGCUUGUUGGUGAGGUAACGGCUCACCAAGGCUUCGACGGGUAGCUGGUCUGAGAGGACGAUCAGCCACACUGGCACUGCGACACGGGCCAGACUCCUACGGGAGGCAGCAGUAAGGAAUAUGCGCAAUGGGCGAAAGCCUGACGCAGCGACGCCGCGUGGGGGAUGAAGGUCUUCGGAUUGUAAACCCCUUUCGGGAGGGAAGAUGGAACGAGCAAUCGUUCGGACGGUACCUCCAGAAGCAGCCACGGCUAACUUCGUGCCAGCAGCCGC
rnacentral:rRNA from 1 species